rnacentral:rRNA from 1 species
UACGGGGGGGGCAAGCGUUGUUCGGAAUCACUGGGCGUAAAGGGCGUCUAGGCGGUCAGAUAAGUGGGAUGUGAAAUGCCCCGGCUCACCCGGGGACCGGCAUCCCAAACUGUCUGGCUUGAGUAUGGGAGAGGAUGUGGGAAUUCCUGGUGUAGCGGUGAAAUGCGUAGAUAUCAGGAGGAACACCGGUGGCGAAGGCGCACAUCUGGCCCAAUACUGACGCUAAAGCGCGAAAGCUAGGGGAGCAAACGGG